UACGGAGGGUGCAAGCGUUACCCGGAAUCACUGGGCGUAAAGGGCGCGUAGGUGGCGCGGGCAGUCAACGGUGAAAGUUCGGGGCUCAACCCUGAAUCGGCCGUCGAUACUCCCGUGCUUGAGCACUGUAGAGGCAGAUGGAAUUCCGGGUGUAGCGGUGGAAUGCGUAGAGAUCCGGAAGAACACCGGUGGCGAAGGCGGUCUGCUGGGCAGUAGCUGACACUGAGGCGCGACAGCGUGGGGAGCAAACAGG
rnacentral:rRNA from 1 species